ensembl:lncRNA CCDC144BP coiled-coil domain containing 144B, pseudogene
GCGAGGCUUUGCGGUGGCUGCUUGGCUUGGCGGUGGUCGCUUGGCUUGGCGUGGCAGUGAUCGCUUGGCUUGGCAUUUCUGGCUUGGCGGUCCUCCUUUCGCAGAUUGGAAACCGCGGGCUAUCCUGCUGGGAGGUUGUGGCCGAGGCAGUAGCUCGCUACUGAUGGCCUCCUGGGGUGGAGAAAAGCGGGGAGGGGCUGAGGGGUCUCCGAAGCUGGCAGUCUACGCCACGAGGAAGACCCGUAGCGUCAGGAGCCAGGAGGACCAGUGGUACUUGGGCUACCCGGGGGACCAGUGGUCUUCGGGCUUCUCCUACAGCUGGUGGAAAAAUAGCGUCGGCAGCGAGAGCAAGCACGGUGAGGGCGCCUUAGACCAGCCCCAGCACGACGUCCGCCUGGAAGAUCUUGGCGAGCUCCACAGAGCUGCCCGGUCGGGCGACGUCCCUGGGGUGGAGCACGUCUUGGCUCCUGGAGACACUGGCGUGGACAAGAGGGAUAGGAAGAAGAGCAUUCAGCAACUAGUUCCUGAAUAUAAGGAAAAACAGACACCUGAAAGUCUUCCUCAAAAUAACAAUCCAGAUUGGCAUCCUACUAAUUUGACCCUUAGUGAUGAGACUUGUCAGAGAUCCAAGAAUCUGAAAGUUGGUGAUAAAAGUCCAUCUGUAUCACCAUCAAUGCCUGAAAAUCAGUCAGCAACCAAAGAACUGGGACAGAUGAACUUAACAGAACGAGAAAAAAUGGACACUGGAGUUGUACUUCUCUCAGGGAAUGAUACUCUCCAUGACCUGUGCCAAUCACAGCUACCAGAAAACAAAGAGAGCAAAGAAGCAGAACAAGACUUGGAGCUGACAUCAGAGGAAGAGCAAGAAAGACUUAAAGGAUGCGAAAAUAAGCAGCCACAGAUUCUGACAGAACAUCAGAAGUAUAUCUACAUGAAGAAUUACAGCAAGACAUGCAAAAGUUUAAGAAUGAGGUCAACACAUUAGAAGAAGAGUUCCUGGCUUUGAAGAAAGAAAAUGUUCAACUUCAUAAAGAGGUUGAAGAAGAAAUGGAGAAGCACAGAAGUAAUAGCACAGAAUUAUCAGGAACCCUAACUGAUGGUACUACUGUUGGCAAUGAUGAUGAUGGACUAAAUCAGCAGAUUCCUAGGAAGGAAAAUGAAGAGCAUGACAGGCCUGCAGAUAAAACAGCUAAUGAAAAGAACAAGGUCAAAAACCAAAUAUAUCCUGAGGCUGACUUUGCUGACUCAAUGGAGCCAUCUGAAAUAGCCUCAGAGGAUUGUGAAUUGUCUCACUCUGUUUAUGAGAAUUUUAUGUUGCUGAUUGAACAACUUAGAAUGGAGUAUAAAGAUUCUGCUAGCCUACCAAGAAUCCAAGACACAUUUUGUUUGUGUGAACACUUACUGAAACUUAAGAAUAAUCACUGUGACCAACUUACAGUAAAACUUAAACAAAUGGAAAAUAUGGUCAGUGUACUACAAAAUGAGCUAUCUGAAACAAAAAAGACAAAAUUACAGUUAGAACUUCAAAAAAUUGAAUGGGAGAAAGAGCUGUACGAUUUGAGACUUGCCUUAAAACAAGAAAAUGGGAGAAAAGAAAUGCCGAUAUGUUGUAUAAUAAAGAUAGUGAACAGUUAAGAAUAAAAGAAGAGGAGUGUGGGAAAGUGGUUGAAACAAAGCAACAACUUAAAUGGAAUCUGAGAAGACUUGUUAAGGAAUUGAGGACAGUAAGAAAUAACUUGGAUCUGGUUGUGCAGGAGAGAAACGAUGCCCAGAAGCAACUUUCUGAAGAACAGGAUGCCAGAAUAUUACAAGAUCAGAUUCUGACAAGUAAACAAAAGGAACUAGAAAUGGCUCAAAAGAAAAUGAAUUCUGAGAUUUCUCAUAGGCAUCAGAAAGAAAAGCAUCUCUUUCAUGAAAAUUGCAUGUUGCAGGAAGAAAUUGCCUUGCUGAGACUGGAAAUAGAUACAAUAAAAAAUCAGAACAAGCAAAA